rnacentral:tRNA from 1 species
GGAGGGGUGCCAGAGCGGUUGAAUGGGCCCGCCUCGAAAGCGGGUAGGCCUUUACGGGCCUCGUGGGUUCGAAUCCCACCCCCUCCGCCA